rnacentral:rRNA from 1 species
UACGGAAGGCAGCAGUGGGGAAUAUUGCACAAUGGGCGAAAGCCUGAUGCAGCUAUGCCGCGUGUAUGAAGAAGGCCUUAGGGUUGUAAAGUACUUUCAUCGGGGAGGAAAAAACAAAACUAAUAAUUUUAUUUCUUGACGUUACCCGAAAAAGAAGCACCGGCUAACUCCGUGCCAGCAGCCGCGGUAAUACGGAGGGUGCUAGCGUUAAUCAGAAUUACUGGGCGUAAAGAGCACGUAGGGUGGUUUUUUUAAAGUCAGAUGUGAAAUCCCUGGGCUUAACCUGGAACUGCAUUUUGAAACUGAAAUACUAGAGUAUCGUAGAGGGAGGUAGAAUUCUAGGUGUAGCGGUGAAAUGCGUAGAUAUCUGGAGGAAUACCUGUGGCGAAAGCGGCCUCCUAAACGAAUACUGACACUGAGGUGCGAAAGCGUGGGGAGCGAAACAGGGAUUAGAUACC